ensembl:processed_transcript
CUCACAGAAGCUUGUACUGGUGAGUCAGAGAGAGUGUGUGUGCGUGUGUGUGAGUGUUUGCUUUCAGACAGAGAGAAAGAGAGGAAGAAAUGGAAAGAUAAAUGGCCUCACUGGAAGAUUUAGCAGAGAAAUAGCAGAGCAUACGAGUGAGAGGAAAAGGUGGAGAGCGGACGAAUCCUCUUUCUGGCUGAGUGAAUGAAUGAGUGAGUGAGUGAGUGAGUGAGUGAGUGAGUGGAAGAGCAGGAGCAUCGGUGGUCCUGAAGAAGAGCAGAAGAAGGAGAGAACGGUGCUUUGUGACGCAUCUGACAUCUCGUCCUCCAUCUUUUCCAUCCUCCACCCGCCCAUCCAUCCAUCUGUCCUUCUUGGAAGUGUUUCUCCUCCGUGCUUUGGGAUGCAACAGGAGCAUCUGGUGGCCGAGAGAGGCUGAGAUACAGCAGCAGAUUUACAGGAACUUUGUGUCCCCAUGUGAGAACCACGCCAAGAUCUUAUGAAUCGACCUCAUCAGUCAUCUCAAAUCCAGAGACCUGCCACGAAAUAUUCACUAGAGACAACUAAACACAGGAAAGAAGCAACACUACCUAUGAGUCUGCAUAUCUGCAAUGUGCUAGAAGCAACUAAGGUCUGGAAAGACUCCUGAGACACUCUCAAGCCUGUCACAUAACAGAAGAGUGAACGCACAAUCUGUCAAGCUCAACGCAGACCCCUUAAGGAGUUCUGGUCAUUUAAGGACGUGGAACGUGCGUUCAAAUUUUCCAAUGCCACAUGAACACCUCCCUGAAAAGAAUUUACUUAUCAGAACAAAGGACAGGGAGGUUAGAAUUUAGCCAAUCACGAGAAGAAUCAAGAACAGGAGAGGGUCUAACCAGAAAAGGAAGCUGAAACAGGAAGAAGGUAGUGACAUUGUGGUGGAUGCUGUUUCUGUUACGGUGGUUGCAUCAGUUCCUUUCUGAAACUUAUAA